rnacentral:rRNA from 1 species
GCAUAUCAAUCAGCGCGAAAGCGACACA